UGGGGAAUAUUGCACAAUGGGCGCAAGCCUGAUGCAGCCAUGCCGCGUGUAUGAAGAAGGCCUUCGGGUUGUAAAGUACUUUCAGCGGGGAGGAAGGGAGUAAAGUUAAUACCUUUGCUCAUUGACGUUACCCGCAGAAGAAGCACCGGCUAACUCCGUGCCAGCAGCCGCGGUAAUACGGAGGGUGCAAGCGUUAAUCGGAAUUACUGGGCGUAAAGCGCACGCAGGCGGUUUGUUAAGUCAGAUGUGAAAUCCUCGGGCUCAACCUGGGAACUGCAUCUGAUACUGGCAAGCUUGGGUCUCGUAGAGGGGGGUAGAAUUCCAGGUGUAGCGGUGAAAUGCGUAGAGAUCUGGAGGAAUACCGGUGGCGAAGGCGGCCCCCUGGACGAAGACUGACGCUCAGGUGCGAAGGCGUGGGGAGCAAACAGG
rnacentral:rRNA from 1 species